UAAUUAUUAUGAAAAGUAUUAUAAUUGAAAUCUAAUGCUCGAAGUGAAUUUAUUAAAAACAAAAUCAUAAAGUAAGAAAGCCGAUUAGAAUAAACAGAUGAUGAAAAGUCAAUUCUUGAAUUGCUUAUCAAAUGAUGGUUAGAACUAAAAAAACAGCAAAAGAAGAAAAAUAACAAUGAGAAUAGGAAGACAACUGGGGGAAAAAUAAAGGGGACAGGGACAGUGCAACGGGGCACAAUAAUGGUGAGAGCACACAAAAUGAAGAGACCAGGCGGGUUGGGGUGUAUGGAAGGGAAGGAGAAAUACGGUCGAUGCCGUUGUUGGAUUGCAUGCUCGGAUCACGUGGACAUCACUGGGAAUCCGCGUGUUCGCUGUUCGCUCUGGUCUGUGGUUUGGAGUGUAGCUGUGGCAACUCGUUUUGCUAUCACGUCCCCGUGAGCGUUCACUGACUCGACGCUUUGGCCCCGGGGAUGUGUACCUGAGUUGAACGUCGACGGGAGGAGGGGGACUAGGAUGACCCAGGUGUUUUUAUCCGAAGUGGAAUAAGAAGUCCCGGGUGCACGAUUUUGAGUUACGGUUUAGGUGACCCUCUGAGAUAUUUUUGAACUUUGUAUACAUACAAUAUCGCUCGUGAAAAUUCAAAUCUAAAAGCUUGUAAUUUUUAAGAGCAAUUUUCAUAAAAUUCUCUUACUUUUCAUCGUUGACGAAUCAGUUAUUUUUUCAUUCAAUAUUCAAGUAAUUCUCGUUUUUCAAGUCUAGGGGACGUUGAAACCCAUUUACAAUUUUUGAAACUUUGAGAGCAAUCGAAAAACGUCAAAUUUUCAUGGGAAAAGUAAUGAUUGUUUAACAUCAAAAAAAUUUUUUUCUCUUUUUGGGCACUAUCUGCAAUAAUUCCGCACUUCCCUGAGGCCUGUCAUCGUUUAAAGGGACUAAAGAGGGAGUUUAAAGGGACUCAGUUAAAAGACUUUCGACGGAUAUGAAUUGAUGAUUUAAAUUUAAACGAAUAGCUAAAGAAAAUUGACGGGUUGCUUAAGAUUAUGACAUUAUGCAGUGAUGAAUUUAUUGUGAUAUUGCAUAUUGUUAAUUGAAUACUUCUGUCUCAGUUCAGUAGAAACCCAGUAGAAUUUUCUAACGAGAGUCACCGCAUUCGCUUGAAAUUUCUAUUAUGAUAUCCAUAUAGAAAACGUAUAAAGACAUCAUGGACAAUGAAAAAAAAUCAUUUGCAUUUCUUUAAUGAAUUAAUUCAUUUGUUUUUCACUAUCUUCACAAAUUUUUACUUUCUAAAACAGGCAAUAGAAAUUGGGUAAUAUAAGAGUUCAAUUCGUUGAGAAAUUCUUUCCAUAACGGAAAAAGUAAGGUCGGUGAAUGUUUGACCAUAAUGACCAUACGAUGUGUCUAUAGCGAAAAAAAUGUUUUAUCCAGCUGAAGAGUAAAAAAUAAUCAAGUUCUCAUUAUUUAAUUGACAGGCAAUUAGCUGAUUCUUGAUUGUUCCACAAUUUUUUACGCCCAAUCCCCUUCAACAAUAUUAUUUUAUCAGUCAAAAUUUAUUUCAACUCCAUCAUCCGAUCCUGUAUGGAUUUCGAACCGGAAUAUUCUUACGAAAAGUGAUACGGAUGUACACUAAAAAUAGAAUAAAAUGAUGAUGUACAUGAACAAAUCACUGGCCUUGGUCGUAUCUAACGCUAGAAAAAUCCGAUAUGAGAACAUGGAACGUAUGAAAACAAUGCAAAAGGUCAAUUCUUCACGUGAUUUCUUCAGAUAAUUUGGUUUAAAAAUUCAUCUAGAGAUCAAGAAUGCUUGAGCAGACUAUGAUUCAUGAAAUAAUCGGCGACAAGAAUAACUCACACAAAAAGCAGAUGAAAAUAAUGUUAAAAAACGCUCGAAUGAAAAAAUUCUUAGAAGAAUGCGAAUAAGUUGAAUUUCAUCUAUCAGUUAUGGAUUAUUUCUAUCAAAAAAAAAUUGAGAAAACUCAAAUAAUCAGAUCAUUAUCUAGAUAUUUAUGAAAAACUGCCCAUGGAGUAAAAAUCGAAGUAACUGAAUUCACCAUUGAUUUUAAUUUUAACAAAAUCGACUAUGCUAUUUAAAAUUACAUGUGUGUGCAACGUCAAUGAUUUUAUGGUCGACCACUGCGGCAGAUUGGUCUUAAGUGGGUACAAUGUAUCAAUUCUAUGACGAUUAAAUUGUCAUCUGGCAACUCGAACUUUGUUCAAUGCAGUACUGUGUUCAAUUGAACGAUGCCAAGUUCAAUUAAAAAAUUUAUCUCGAGGCAUUUGCUUGUUUUUAUUGGUACGACAAUGAAUUCAGUAAGAUAUCAACCAUCUGUAAGGAGUCUGCAUUCAUUGUCGGAGAGUUUUGGGUGUAAUUUCUUUUCAUUUUGAUAAUUAAAUUGAUAAUAAUAUAUAAACCAGGACAUGGGAAUACACUCCUUAACUAGAUGUAUAGAAUGAAGAGAGAAUGAAAAAACCUAUAAAAGAGACUAGACAAGCUUUGUUGACGUCUCGACUGCGCUUCGUAAAAAAGAUAAUACGAUACUGCACAGUUUUAUACGAAUACAACGGGUGAUAUGAAGUAUGAUGUUGGCGACCCGAGGCUAUUAUAACUCCUAAUUACAUUGAGAUUAAAUAUCCAGAUGGAUCUCAUGUUACUCUACAUAAAACAUCUUAGAAAAUCAAAUACGACCAUUUGACAAUAAAAGAAGAUUAGAGGAGUGAGAUGUCAGUACCUCUGUUCCCCUGGAACAAAGUUCACCAUUCGGGAACGGACCGAGCAUGAAUUAUUAGUUUUCCCGCACAAUCUGCGUAAAGUUUAGAGGUCACUGGAAAUAUAAAAUAUUAAAUGGAAAAAAUCAAUAUAAUUCUUUUUUUCUAUGUAACUUAUUCCCUGUAGAAUAAACUAAAAUGAAAUAUAAUUUAUUUCUUUGGUA